UUGGCCGCAUGGUUGAGGUGGCCCAAUAAGGGCCUGACAUGUGUCACCCUUAGGGGCUGACACGUGUCACCUCAUAUAUAUGUACUAUGUGACUAUUCACUUAUUCAUUAUCCAAAAUCAGCCAAAACAUAGAGAGAAAACGUGAGAGGAAGAGGCAGUCAUGGUUUGAAGACUUUGAGGUUCAGAAGACGACGAGACGAGCAGGAUAAAGGGUAACUCAUAAAAGGUAUGCAAAGCUUUCUCUUGGCAUGUUUUGGGUAUAAGUUCGUACAACUAUCUUUCUUUCCUUUUGGCAAUGUUUAGCCUUAAGUGAAUUGUAUAUGAAGUGUGGGGAUAAUUCCAUUCUCAGAAUUCUGAGUACGCCUCAUAACCCCUAUCCACUGUUCAGUAUUAGAGUUCCUGUGAAGAUUAAGUAUUGCCUAGAAGGGCUUCUAUGUGUCGGAAUGUAAUGUAUGGGAAGCUAUCCCUCAUUUUCAUUGAGAUGUAUUUGAUACGAAAAUGAGGUUACGAUGCCAUAGUGGUUCAUCGAGCCCCAUGAAGGGCCGGGUACGUUGUCAUGCAUAAUUCACUGCAUUGUUCACUGAGCCCUUCUCUAGAGGGCUGGGUACGUAUGUAUAUAUAUGAUGAUGUGUUGUAAUAAGAUGGUGAUGGCGUCGGGCCUAUGAUGGUCCUAUAGAUGUGAUUCACCGGACCCCUGAAAGGACCGGCUAUAUUGUGUAAAUUGAGCAUGCAUACUUUUGUGAUUCACAGAGUACAGGUACAUGUCUUCGAUUUAAUAAUUUAUUCCCCUGCUUCUCUAUUUUGAAUAUACCUCCAGUGUAUUAUGUUAUAUUUUACAUACUCAGUACAUAUGUCGUACUGACCCCCAUUCUCGGGGGGUUGCGUUCAUGCCCGCAGGUACAGAUGUAGUUUUUUGGGAGUCCGUUAGCUUGGGACUCCAUGCAGCUCAACUGGAAGAGGCUCCAUUGUAUCGGGGCCUAGUUUUUGAUACUGUCCACUAAUGUAUAAAAAUUGUUUUGUCCAUUCAGGGGUACGGCGGGGGCCCUGUCCCACCAUAUAUUGUCAUUUAUAUUUUUAGAGGUCUACAGACAUGUAUAUGUGGGUUGUUUAUGUCAGUUUGAUUCAACUGGGUCCACAUGAUAGAUGAUAUAUGUUAUUAUGUUAUGGCAGCCUUAUCGGCUUGCGUUCCCUGUCGGCUUGCGUGCCCUGUCAUGUUAUGAUACAAACGAAAAGGGCUACAGGUUUAUGAAAAUGUUAUCGCCCAGUGGGGCUUUGUUA